AGCCUACUUGUUAGGUGACUGCGUACCUUUUGUAUAAUGGGUCAGCGACUUAUAUUCAGUGGCAAGCUUAACCGUAUAGGGUAGGCGUAGCGAAAGCGAGUCUUAAUAGGGCGUUUAGUCGCUGGGUAUAGACCCGAAACCGGGCGAUCUAUCCAUGAGCAGGUUGAAGGUUAGGUAACACUGACUGGAGGACCGAACCCACUCCCGUUGAAAAGGUAGGGGAUGACUUGUGGAUCGGAGUGAAAGGCUAAUCAAGCUCGGAGAUAGCUGGUUCUCCUCGAAAGCUAUUUAGGUAGCGCCUCAUGUAUCACUCUGGGGGGUAGAGCACUGUUUCGGCUAGGGGGUCAUCCCGACUUACCAAACCGAUGCAAACUCCGAAUACCCAGAAGUGCCGAGCAUGGGAGACACACGGCGGGUGCUAACGUCCGUCGUGAAAAGGGAAACAACCCAGACCGCCAGCUAAGGUCCCAAAGUUGUGGUUAAGUGGUAAACGAUGUGGGAAGGCUUAGACAGCUAGGAGGUUGGCUUAGAAGCAGCCAUCCUUUAAAGAAAGCGUAAUAGCUCACUAGUCGAGUCGGCCUGCGCGGAAGAUGUAACGGGGCUCAAACCACACACCGAAGCUGCGGGUGUCACGUAAGUGACGCGGUAGAGGAGCGUUCUGUAAGCCUGUGAAGGUGAGUUGAGAAGCUUGCUGGAGGUAUCAGAAGUGCGAAUGCUGACAUGAGUAACGACAAUGGGUGUGAAAAACACCCACGCCGAAAGACCAAGGGUUCCUGCGCAACGUUAAUCGACGCAGGGUUAGUCGGUUCCUAAGGCGAGGCUGAAAAGCGUAGUCGAUGGGAAACAGGUUAAUAUUCCUGUACUUCUGGUUACUGCGAUGGAGGGACGGAGAAGGCUAGGCCAGCUUGGCGUUGGUUGUCCAAGUUUAAGGUGGUAGGCUGAAAUCUUAGGUAAAUCCGGGGUUUCAAGGCCGAGAGCUGAUGACGAGUCGUCUUUUAGAUGACGAAGUGGUUGAUGCCAUGCUUCCAAGAAAAGCUUCUAAGCUUCAGGUAACCAGGAACCGUACCCCAAACCGACACAGGUGGUCGGGUAGAGAAUACCAAGGCGCUUGAGAGAACUCGGGUGAAGGAACUAGGCAAAAUGGCACCGUAACUUCGGGAGAAGGUGCGCCGGCUAGGGUGAAGGAUUUACUCCGUAAGCUCUGGCUGGUCGAAGAUACCAGGCCGCUGCGACUGUUUAUUAAAAACACAGCACUCUGCAAACACGAAAGUGGACGUAUAGGGUGUGACGCCUGCCCGGUGCCGGAAGGUUAAUUGAUGGGGUUAGCGCAAGCGAAGCUCUUGAUCGAAGCCCCGGUAAACGGCGGCCGUAACUAUAACGGUCCUAAGGUAGCGAAAUUCCUUGUCGGGUAAGUUCCGACCUGCACGAAUGGCGUAACGAUGGCGGCGCUGUCUCCACCCGAGACUCAGUGAAAUUGAAAUCGCUGUGAAGAUGCAGUGUAUCCGCGGCUAGACGGAAAGACCCCGUGAACCUUUACUGUAGCUUUGCACUGGACUUUGAGCCUGCUUGUGUAGGAUAGGUGGGAGGCUUUGAAGCGUGGACGCCAGUUCGCGUGGAGCCAUCCUUGAAAUACCACCCUGGCAUGCUUGAGGUUCUAACUCUGGUCCGUGAUCCGGAUCGAGGACAGUGUAUGGUGGGCAGUUUGACUGGGGCGGUCUCCUCCUAAAGAGUAACGGAGGAGUACGAAGGUGCGCUCAGACCGGUCGGAAAUCGGUCGCAGAGUAUAAAGGCAAAAGCGCGCUUGACUGCGAGACAGACACGUCGAGCAGGUACGAAAGUAGGUCUUAGUGAUCCGGUGGUUCUGUAUGGAAGGGCCAUCGCUCAACGGAUAAAAGGUACUCCGGGGAUAACAGGCUGAUACCGCCCAAGAGUUCAUAUCGACGGCGGUGUUUGGCACCUCGAUGUCGGCUCAUCACAUCCUGGGGCUGAAGCCGGUCCCAAGGGUAUGGCUGUUCGCCAUUUAAAGUGGUACGCGAGCUGGGUUUAGAACGUCGUGAGACAGUUCGGUCCCUAUCUGCCGUGGACGUUUGAGAUUUGAGAGGGGCUGCUCCUAGUACGAGAGGACCGGAGUGGACGAACCUCUGGUGUUCCGGUUGUCACGCCAGUGGCAUUGCCGGGUAGCUAUGUUCGGAAAAGAUAACCGCUGAAAGCAUCUAAGCGGGAAACUUGCCUCAAGAUGAGAUCUCACUGGGAACUUGAUUCCCCUGAAGGGCCGUCGAAGACUACGACGUUGAUAGGCUGGGUGUGUAAGCGUUGUGAGGCGUUGAGCUAACCAGUACUAAUUGCCCGUGAGGCUUGACCAU
rnacentral:rRNA from 1 species